AUUUCCUUGGUGGCACGAAGACCACGAGCUAAACAAGAGAGGAGGACCACCCUUCACUCUUCCUUCCCUUGCAGAACGCCGAACCGAUGAUGCCACGCCCCUUCAUCCCACGAAGACUCGUGGACGAUUUCUCCUUGAUGCUGCUUUUGGCCACAACACCGUGCCACAUCCCAGCUGGCGUGAAGUGACAUGCUGAGUCAACAAAAAUCAACACCAGAGAGAGAGAGCAACGUAUGACUGUGGGAGGGGAGAAAAACGAACAGAGAGAGAGGGAUGCCAUUACUCAUUUUCUGUCAACACCGCCCACCGCCUUUAAGUUCAUCUUCAGCCGUUCUCUUCAUUUUUGGGUCGCGGCCAACAAACUAGAAGCACCGGAGUCAAGCAGUUUCAGUUCCUUCCAUUUUUUGCUCCCAGAAGACCACUGGACCAGCGAAGAUCGACCCUUGCCAUAGCAGCCGCGCACACCACCAUCGUCAGCCACACCUCGUCCCGCCAAGAUGCGGUCGCAGUACUCUAGGACCUGAGUUAAGUAGAUAUCCUUCGUUCUAUCCUUUAUCGAUGGAUCGUCAUUUGACAAAGAUAGUUUCCUAGAAACUCAUGAAUGGUGUUUAGAUUGUUGUUUAAUUGGAGGUUUUGACUACGUUACCUAGGUACAUUGCUGAGUUUAAAGUAGUCAAAUUUGUGGUUGGGUCGUAGGAGCAUAGUCGGCCGAUAUUUAGCACGUACGGGGAUGAGGUAGUUGAAUUUUGAAUUAAAUUUGUGUUAGGACAGAAGACAGAUUCGGAUCCCAACCGACCUUGAAGUUUGCUAAUUUUGUGCCGACUUAUUCGGUGUAAAUUUCACGGGGCAUUCUUCACAAAAGUCAUCAUUUGUUGGCUGUUCUACAACAUACUUUAAUUUUAGAAUUUUGUACUUCGUACAACAAAAAUAUAUUUGAAUAACUUCGGGAUUCAAAAUCUAUUUUUGGGUCCUUUGGACUGACCUCUUCCUGUUUUUCAUUUUACACAAAUUUUUUGGUCAAGAAUUCUAACAUAUGUCCCACGUGAAAGUUGUAGAGUACGUCCUACCACAUAUUAAAUUUCCAUAAAUUUUUGGUCUCAUUUGGUCGGCGAGAUAUUUAUUCUCUUAUUCAAUUUCGUUUUGGAAAUUUUGACUAUUUUGGGCCCAGUUUGCAAAAAUUAUUUGGAUUUGUACGAGCUGAAUCAGACUUUGAGCCCUUUACAAAAAAUGCCCCUCUAGGUCCUGUCUACCUCAUAUUAAAAUUUUAUAAUUUUUUACACCUAUUUUCCCAGGCAACAACUAUCGUUACUAAAGGCUCGUGAAAUGCCUUAUAAGGCUAGUUUGUGGCCUAGGAUGUGGGAAUUUUUUUAUAGUUCAUCUAAUAUCAUCACGAGCAAGUUUAUAUUAGACUAAAUGAUAAAAAUGACUUAUGAUUCAUUAGAUGCAUGCUUGAGUCCCGUGAUAGUAGUGACUUAACAUACUUUUAAUUAGAUUAUAGAAUUGCCGCAUCAUGGUGUAAAUGUGCGAUUGAGAAUACCUUGGUCCUUGUGAUGACGAUGUCUCAGGUUGUAUUAGGGAUAGCCGGAAGGGUAAUUGGGUUCCUCCAAGUGCUUUGGAAGUGUAACAUGGUUCCCCCAUAUGUUCUCGUGACAUCGGAUGGAUUCAAGAUGCCCGAAGGGCGGCAUGAAUUUGUAUUGAAUAUGACUUUAAUAUUUCUGAAUUGAACUACUAAUUAUUUGUUGGAAAAAUUUAUUACUUGUAUUGAUUUGUCAUCUAUUUUGAAAAAGUUCUUAGGUAAGUUAAUGUGCAAGUGAUUUAUUGAACUUUCUAUUGAGGCUUUCUUUAUUAGUACGAUGAUCGAUUUUUAUGGCAUAGAUCGGUAAACCUUUUACUUGCUGGGUUUUGGCUCACUAGUUGUUGGUUUCAUCUUUUGAUAUCAGUAGAAUGUCGAUCCCACUGCCUCCCCUAUGGUCUGUUAUGGGGUCUUAGUGGACGUCACAUGGAAAAAGAACACAUUCAUAGACCUUGGUUUUUCGAAUAUUGUUUUUAUCCGGAUCAAAUCUAGCAUGGUCGUGGAUGAUGGCCCCUAAUAGGGCAAGUCACGCUUAGUUUUGUCAAGAUGUACACCUAUGUCAACGAAUGCACGAUGGAUCCACUCCCACUGUUUGUCAAUGGGCUCGAAGAUGAAGGUAGCUCCGCAGCCUAGACGGGAGGUAGGAAGGAAGCAAGUUUUUGGAGCUAGGAAGAUUUUUUUUAUAAAAGGAGGGGCCAAGGUUUAGGCGACCACUUCUACAGCUAGGUUGGGAAGGGGUGACUGAUGUAUAACAUAGUGAAGUCAGUAGUACUUACAUUUUGAAAUUCCCCAGUGUAACAACCUAUUGCUUGAUAUAUAUCAAGCAAUAGGUUGGUUAUAGAUAAAAUAUAAAAGAAAUGAAGUUGCUCUAUUCAUAGAAGUCGCAUGAACCCCGAAAUUACUUUAGUCCCCUUAUCCUUUCGUAUGCUUAAGGAAAAGCGAAACUAAUUGCAUUAGUUGUUCUAUAGUAGCUAUGACAUGCUAGGUUCGUCAUAGCUUGAGUGAUAUAAAAGCAUAGGUUUAACUAGAUUAAUAAGAUGUGUUAGCAGUUGAAGGAGUUAGGAUGAACGCUCGCUAAGAGACUAAAUAUAUGUGUUUAAAUUGUUUUGGACAAUGGGUGAUGGAUUGUCACUUAUAAAAUGCGAUAACGAUUUUAAGUUACCUGUAUAUUUCAGUGACAUGCAUAUGUUACUAAUGUGAUCCUGUUGUCAAUUAUAUGAUUAGUGAUACUAGGUUACCGAUUGUUUACGUGGGUAAUACUCAACAAUUUGCAGAGAAACAUGGUGAGGUCAAGAAGUUCUUCUCCAUCGAGGGUAGAAGCUACUAUUGCGAGAGCAAAACCUCAAAUAGAGCAUAUUAUGGCAAGCCCAAUGACAACCCGGAGUGGAACGCCAUACACAAAGACUGGUAGACCAAUUUCUAUAACUGAAGCUACCUUCACUUAUUGGUAUGGGAAGCCUAGAAGAGGUCGAACAAUGAAUUGAUAGAAUGGAAAGAAUCUUCCAGUUAUUGAACUGUAACAACACAAUGAAGAUAACUUUGGCAGAGUAUCCAUUGGAAGGAAAUGCCAAACAUUGGUGGAGGGCAUUUAGGGACACGAUUUUCCCGACCAGUACAAUCGUAACGUAGGACAAAUUCGUUAGGGAUUUCUACAAAAAAAACACUUCUCUAACUAUGCCAAGGACUGGAAGAGAAUAAAAUUUGUCCAACUAGAUUAGAAGGAGCUUACCUUGGACUCAUACGAAGUAAAAUUCUUUGAACUUUCUAGGUAUGCUCCUUAACUGGUAGGGCAUCGAGAGGAGAAAGUCAAGAGAUUACUAAAAGGCCUAAGGAUGAACAUUGGAAAAUAACUAGUUCCCCUUAAUAUCAAGGACUACAAUAAAAUUUAUGAGCGACUACAAUAACUAGUCGAUAGAGAAUGAAAGGAUAGGAUUCAGAUGCCAAACGGCUCUAAACUAUGUUUGAUGAGACAAAAGGCCCUACCCAUCUCAAUGACAAACUGGCCCUUAUAAGAAAAGGAAUUUUGGAAAUUUCAGAAGAGCCGGGAAAGGCCAGACCAUGAAUCAAGUACCAUAUUGAAAGAACCAUGCUAAAAGUGUGGCGGACAGCAUGGAUCAGGACCCUGUCACGACUCAAGAAGAUGUUUUGGAUGUGGACAAUUGGGCCACAUUAGGAGAGAUUGCCAUUAGGAGAAGACCCAAUCGAAUGCUGGCCCUGCACGAUCGACAUAACAACGCUUAGAUAGAGUAUCUUGGCAAGGAAGACCGCAACAACCGCUAGCACAAGGAUGGGUGUACCUAGUCAUCCAAGAGGAAGCAAAAGCUUGCAAGGACAUUAUCUCAAGUUAGCUUGACAUUGGAUAUCUCGGCUAACUUGCAGUCGACAUUUACGUGAAACACAAAAUAGGUUAAGCAACUAAAACCUUCACUUGCUUUAUGUUUGUGCAGAUGACAUUGUGUUUUUGCGAAAAAGAUGAAAUAUUUUGACAUCCUUUUAGAAUAGAUUACUGUGGGAUCUUUCAACAACUAUUGGGAUUUACCGAUUGGCAAUGGAAUAUGGAAGUUGUUUGUGUAAAUCAUCGGCGGAUUUUCGAUUGGGAUUCACUUUGUAUUUCGGUUUUGAGAUUAGAGGAGUUCUAUUUUCUUUGAGA